rnacentral:lncRNA from 1 species
UUACUUUCCUCAUUCAUGGGGACUUAAGUAGAAUGAAUUAAAAUCAGUUCUCUAAUGACAACUUAGCCAAAAUAAGUCGAAAUGAAGCAGAAUUUAAGAAGGAAGGUAUGGCAGAUUAGUUCAUUUUUCAACUUUAUUAAUUACUUUUUUCAGCUUUUUUAAUCAUUAAAAAAAACGAUGUAAGGUCCGACUCCAUGAUGUAGGCCUUUAUAUAUAUAUACCGACCUUUGUGGAAAGCGAUCUGAUACCAGAAUAUUUUAGAUUCUCA